UUGAGCCGUGUGCCUGGAAAGCAGGCACGCACGGUUCUGAGGGGGCCCCGGCGCAGCAAUGCGCCGGGGCUACCCGAC
rnacentral:ncRNA from 1 species